rnacentral:rRNA from 1 species
CUAUAAGCUCUCUGAAGGGCCGUUGGAGACUACAACGUUGAUAGGCAAGGUGUGGAAGCAUAGUGAUAUGUUAAGCUAACUUGUACUAAUUACCCGUGAGGCUUAACCAUACAACGCCAAACGCGUUU